rnacentral:rRNA from 1 species
AUUGAACGUUGGCGGCAGGCUUUAGACAUGCAAGUCGAACGAGAAAGUGCCUUCGGGCAUGAGUACAGUGGCGAACGGGUGAGUAACGCGUAGGAAUCUACCUUCCGGUGGGGACAACUCGGGGAAACUCGAGCUAAUACCGCAUACGCCCUACGGGGAAAGGCUUCGGCCACUAUUGGAUGAGCCCGCGUCGGAUUAGCUUGUUGGUGGGGUAAUGGCCUACCAAGGCGACGAUCCGUAGCUGGUCUGAGAGGAUGAUCAGCCACACUGGGACUGAGACACGGCCCAGACUCCUACGGGAGGCAGCAGUGGGGAAUAUUGGACAAUGGGCGAAAGCCUGAUCCAGCAAUGCCGCGUGUGUGAAGAAGGCCUGCGGGUUGUAAAGCACUUUCAGUAGGGAAGAUUAUGACGGUACCUACAGAAGAAGCACCGGCUAACUCUGUG